CACCCACCGUAUCCACACCGAUCUCUCUCUCUCGACCAGGCGAUGCGCUAGGGUUAGCGCUUCAUGCCGCCGCCCAUGGUCCGAUCACCGGCAGCCGUGGACGUCGCCUCCCUGCCUCCCCACCGGCACCCUGCUGCAAGGGGCUUCUCCCCUCGACAUUGACGCCCCGCUAGCGGCCUCCCUCCUUGACGCCGUCUCCCACACGCCCCAUGACGCUACCUCCCCACGCACUGAGUAUCUCGCGAACGACCUCGCCCGUAUCUUCCUCCACGCUGCAGUCGACGACACCCGACAAUUCGUCCGCAUUGAUUCCACGCCCGUCUCCUAGCCACUGCUCUCGAGUUCAAUGCGUCAAAUGAGAAAGGGAGAUGAUGUUGGGUAGCAAGGGCAACAGGACUUCAAUGCGGCGGCGACUUGAAGCCUUGGGCUACAGGUCGAGGCCUUCUGGCAGCGCUACUACAUGCGGCCUGUCGGCUCCGGUGGCGGCAUGUUUGGCAUCACCAGCACCUUCAUCGGCAUAUCCGAGAGCAGGCCGUGGUGGCUGCAGUGAGGGUGCGUGCGGCAGAGCAGAUGGCGUUCUGAAGAGCUACUACACCUUGGAUCCCGAUCCCUCGCUGAAGGUGCUCGAUCUUGGUGUUUGAAUGCUGCUACCGUACAGCAAGGCAAUAUAAGGUCUCCAGUGCAAGCAUUAUCCAUCUUUAGCUGCUCAUAAGCAGUAUCCAGUUGAGGACAGGUACACUCUUGCUAAGGUUAAUCUUUGAUAUAUAUAAUUCGUUGCCCAGAUAUAGUUUGCAGGUGUAUUUCCCCCCUUUUGAUCAAGAUUUCUGCAGUGCAGAAUGGCUAUUUGCAAGUGUGUUCCGGAACAAUGGUUAGUGUCUAAUGCAAAAGGUUUAAUGACUGCAAAUUAUAUAUUGUUUCUGAGAUUUGUCUAGAAAUUAUAUGUUAUCUCUGAUUUUGGAGCUAGAAUAAUAUGUGUGUUGCCUUUAGUUAUAUAUAUGUACACUCACUGGUUAACUAUGGUUCUUUGGAUUAUUUCGGCGAACCGCUAAACAAUGGACGAUGCGGUUGACAUUGAUUAAGAAGUAGAGAGUUUGUAGGUUGUUCAAAUUUACUUUUGCCAAUGAUCAAAGAAUUGUCAUUCUGGACGUACACCUAUUGGGUUGCGUAUCUCGCCGUCAUUCAUGCUGGCUCUGGUGGCUUACCUUAGGAGUACCACCAAUCUUAGAACAUGCUCUUAAUUUGGGUAAAUUAUGGAAACGUUUAUGGUGGACACAUUUUUGAUUUCAUCCUUUAUUAGCUAAUUUGUAUAGCUUAUGAUCUUAGAGUUAACGGCCACUUAUCAUAUUCUUUAGGUGUGGAGUUAAAAGCUUCACACAGCUAAUGACAUAAAUGCUAUGUUAAACAAUAUCGACGAAGUCAGUAGUUAUCUUUGUCUCUACUUUUUCGGUGACAAGUUCUAUUUUUCCUAUCAAUGGAUCAAGUUGUGUUGGGUUAACUUCAAAGUGGUACAAAAAAUUUGCAGCUAUUUUUUUGUUAGUAAUCUUAUAAGCAACAGAAAAUAGCAGUAUGAUAUUUAUGUCAUUGUGACAUUUAAAUCAGUGUUCAUGCUUGUAAGUCAGGCCACCAAUGUUCGUGCAUAUAAAUCAGGAUCCUUGAUUUUUCCAGUGACUGUCUCUGAUGUAUUUCUAUUUCCAUCUGGCAGCUUAAUUAGAAUUUCUAUUUCCAUAUCUCCCUCCUUUUUGUGAGUGAUUUCAGCUCCAUGAAGAACUCUCUGGUAUAUAUGUCCCCCCAGUCUACUUAUUGUAGAUGUCUGAUCUUGUGGAUUCCUUUUGUUGGCUUUGAGUUCUUAAUGCAGAUGUUUUGCUUCUUCUUCAGUCAUCCAUACCUUUUGUAUGUUUGUUCACUAUACAUUUUGACGACAUUGGGUUUUUAUAGGCAUGGAGACAAGAGAUGGCAUCUUACGUUAAGUCUAUAGAUAUUGUGCCCCUCGUGGAGAUUAGUGUUGAAGGGUAUUAUGGUCCGUCUACUCUGGAACUUUUGCUCGUCAUCCCAGAUGAUUAUUCAGGGCAUGUUGGAACGGACUUCGUUAGGAACCAUCAAGCAUUGUGAAUUGAUUUAGCUUCAGUUCAAAUCUAUUCAGGCACUUGGUUACCUGAAUCAACAGAGGAAAGUCACGUUCAAUUUGUGAACACUUGGAUGCAACAACAUAUCCACAUUCUGCUAUAUCAUCAGAAAGCAAAAACCAUGAGAGGCCACAAUAAUCAUCAAGGUAAAUACAUCCCUGCAGUCUUUCCUUAUGUUUCAUUUGCAUGUUGGUUUGGUAAACUUAGCAUCCUGCAGAGCCAUUUUUUAAGAUAGUUCAGUCAUACUUGGUGCUGCACUAAAAAAUACGUGUUAGAACUUUACAUGCCUAUAGUUAGUCCCACCAGUUUCGAUGGUCAGCAAUUGCAGCUAUGAAGAAUAGGAUAUCUUCUUGAUAUCAGGGAUCAGCAUCUGAUCUUUUAUUUGAUUGGGGUUGUGAUUUCAUUGGGAAAAUAGUUUUGUGCUGGGUAUAUGAUCAUAUUUAUGCUCGCACCGAUGUAUGCCCUUACUUAUGGUUAUUUUGUUGGGCAAAUAAAUUGCCUCAGUUUUCCUGUCGAUGAUAGUAAUACUACCCUCAGUUUAGAUCCAUUUCAGAAGGUAAAGUCUCAUAUCAACACCUACGUAGGAGUUUCAGAAUAUAGACUUAUAAGAUUGGAUACUAUUUUUUGAUCUGAAAAAAUAUCUAUUGCCGAUAAGAACGUAUUUCACAUAAUAUAUUAUUGGUUCAUCCUGGAGCUUGAAAUGUACUCCUUUUUUCUGUAGGGAUUUCUGAAACGAGUAGAAGAUUAAUAACUUCUACGACAUCAAAGAUCUCUGUGCUUUUAGAGUAUGCACCAUAUUGAUUUACUUAUUGAUUUAUUCACACUGUAUCAGAUUUUCCUUGAAUGUGAUACUUUAUUGAUUGCACCGAACACUGGAAGCAAACUGCUUUCUUAAUUCAGGAUUAUCCUGCACCAAUUUCUGUAUAAGUUCUCCUUGAUACCAAUUUGCAUACUUGCAACUGGAAUUCGAGACACAUAUAAUUCAUAAUGAAAAUAUAUACGAGUAUUCGCAAGGCAUCGAAUUUUUUAAAUUACUAUCAGAUGGAAUUUGGGAAUUGGCCUUACAAAGAUAAUAGACAAGGAAAUAUCAUAUGUCAGUGGUUCCCUUUUUACUGGGCAGAUAAUGAAACUUUAGCAAUUCACGAGUUGCAUGAAUACGGAACUCGAGAUAGUCUGUUAGUAUAAGUAAAAAUGUUUUUCAUUUUAUUUCUUGGUUUGACCAAAUUAUAUUUUACCCAAAUGUAUGGAUGAUCGAGGGUGGGAGGGAGCAAGGGAGGAAUGGGGAGAGAGAUUUUGCAGGUAAACAUUGGUAGUACAACCACGUUCCCACAUGUAUGGAUCAUCAUUGUGUUGUUACCAAUAUGCCAGAUACCAUAACUUUCAUGUCUGAAUGUGUUGUAGAAAUGUUCUUUGAUAAAUGUGUUUUUAGCUCUUCAUAUUUUAGUAAGCACACAUAUCACUCCGAAAAAAAAUUUAGUUGGGAGAAGGAAGAAAGGAAGAAAAGGUGAGCACUUCAACGGUAAAAAGAUGCUGCCCGUUGCAACUCACGGGCAUUUGGUUAUUCAUGUAUAUCAGUAUGACUCAUGGCAUUUCUGGAUUGCCAGUAGCCCUGAUCUGAUUGCUUGAUGUACCUAUAUCAUUUUCUUUUCAGUCACCUAUUAAUCCGAGCAGGGAUGAUGAGGGAAAAGAAAUGGUCAUGGUGAAAGUCAAUUUAGUGCAUCAAGGAUUGGAGGGUGUGAGAUUUGCAAGAGGUGAUGGAGGACAGUUUGUAGUCAAGGAAGAGUACAAACAUAAGUUGGUUGAGAAUUUUUAGAGAUUUAGACAUAUACUUUUGCAAUCUAUAAGAGGAUCAAAUAUGUUUUGGGUUGAUGCUUAUGUCCCAUGCAAGAAAUGGGGAUGAAUUUUAAACACCACGGCACCGUGGCUCUCUGGCAAAC